rnacentral:rRNA from 1 species
GAUGAACGCUGGCGGCGUGCCUAAUACAUGCAAGUCGAGCGGACGGACGAGAAGCUUGCUUCUCUGAUGUUAGCGGCGGACGGGUGAGUAACACGUGGAUAACCUACCUAUAAGACUGGGAUAACUUCGGGAAACCGGAGCUAAUACCGGACAAUAUUUUGAACCGCAUGGUUCAAAAGUGAAAGACGGUCUUGCUGUCACUUAUAGAUGGAUCCGCGCUGCAUUAGCUAGUUGGUAAGGUAACGGCUUACCAAGGCAACGAUGCAUAGCCGACCUGAGAGGGUGAUCGGCCACACUGGAACUGAGACACGGUCCAGACUCCUACGGGAGGCAGCAGUAGGGAAUCUUCCGCAAUGGGCGAAAGCCUGACGGAGCAACGCCGCGUGAGUGAUGAAGGUCUUCGGAUCGUAAAACUCUGUUAUUAGGGAAGAACAUAUGUGUAAGUAACUGUGCACAUCUUGACGGUACCUAAUCAGAAAGCCACGGCUAACUACGUG